CUCUCUUCCUCGUUGCGGUGAAAGAAGAAGGUUGUGCUGCCGCAGAGAGAGAGAGAGAGAGAGAGAGAGAGACACACACACUUACACAACCCGAGGCUCGGUCCGGCCUUGUUGGGAUAAAAAGCCACGAUUUGGGAGGUCUCUUGAUGAGGUAAAGGGAAUGCUGUAUAACAGGAAUCUGAAGAAGGAUCACCUCGCUUGCUGUGUAGUUACACUCACCUGUCCAACUGCUCGUUAACACUUAAUUUCUAAGCAGCCAAUCACAUGGCGGCAACUCAGUGCAUUUAGGCAUGUAGACAUUGUCAAGACAAUCUCCUGCAGUUCAAACCGAGCAUCAGUAUGGAGAAGAAAGGUGAUUUGAGUGACUUUGAACGUGGCAUGAUUGUUGGUGCCAGAAGGGCUGGUCUGAAUAUUUCAGAAACUGCUGAUCGACUGGGAUUUUCACGCACAACCAUCUCUAGGGUUUACAGAGAAUUGUCCGAAAAAGAAAAAACAUCCAGUGAGCGGCAGUUCUGUGGGCGGAAACAACAUGAAAGCAUGGAUCCUACAACAUGAAAGCAUGGAUCCAUCCUGCCUUGUAUCAACGGUUCAGGCUGGUGGUGGUGGUGUCAUGGUGUGGGGAAUAUUUUCUUGGCACUCUUUGGGCCCCUUGGUACCAAUUGAGCAUCGUUGCAACGCCACAGCCUACCUGAGUAUUGUUGCUGACCAUGUCCAUCCCUUUAUGACCACAAUGUACCCAACUUCUAAUGGCUACUUUCAGCAGGAUAAUGCGCCAUGUCAUAAAGCUGGAAUCAUCUCAGACUGGUUUCUUGAACAUGACAAUGAGUUCGCUGUACUCAAAUGGCCUCCACAAUCACCAGAUCUCAAUCCAAUAGAGCAUCUUUGGGAUGUGGUGGAACGGGAGAUUCGCAUCAUGGAUGUGCAGCCGACAAAUCUGCGGCAACUGUGUGAUGCCAUCAUGUCAAUAUGGACCAAACUCCCUGAGGAAUGCUUCCAGCACCUUGUUGAAUCUAUGCCACGAAGAAUUGAGGCAGUUCUGAAGGCAAAAGGGGCCGGCGAGUAUAUCAGUCAUGCUUUUUGAAAUACUGUAUAACAUGUUCA